CAUCCAGUCCAAGUGUUCAUCCAGCGCUGCCACUGUAACCCUGAACCAUAGCAACAAAUGCCAGAUCCGGACACCCGAGCAUCUCCAGGGACGGUGACUCCAGCACCUCCUGGGCAGCCUGUCCCAGUGCCUGACCUCACAACCAGUGAAUAAUUUGUUUUUUUCAAAUACCUGAUUUGAAUCUCCCCUGUCUCACUUUACAUCCUUACUCUGUCCUCUGUAUCUUUCUCCCCUGUGGCUCCACUGGGCUGUGCUGGGUUUGUGGGACACCACUGGGCACCCAGGCUUGCACAACGCUGAAAUAAAGAAUUCAUGUGUGUCUCAAGUGUGGCAUUACUGGCUUGGUGCACGCCAGGGAACAAAUCUGAUUUCCUGGGCAGCUUCCCCAUGUCCUGAGGAGGCUGUGGCUCCUGGAAUUCUGCUGAUACUUUCAGGAACAGGAGUCACAAUCCCAGGGAGUCCAGGCCAGCCCUGCUGCAGUUUUUGCUCUGAAACAACUGCAGGAAACAACACAAAUUUGGUUGUGCAAUUUUGAGGUCACAGACCUGAGCACGGCCUGUUCUUUAGGCCCUGUAGCAAAAAAACUCAUCAUGAGCCCAAGGUCCUCUCAAGUGUGUCAGGACCUUUUGUGAAUGAAGUUUAACAUCUCCACCCUGCUCCCAUCAGGCUGGCAAAGGGAAAACUUACUGUCUGCUUCAGCUGCUGCUUGGAAAAUGAAAACACAUCUCUGUCUGUCAGGACCUGAGGGCACCACAAGACAUCAGUGGCCCUGCCCUGACUCACCUGGGACCUUCUCCAUGGGUUCAGCAGCCCCAUCUCAGCUCAGCCUGAGGGUUUGAGACCUUUCUGCACAGGGCUGCAGAGUUCUCUCUUCCCAAAUUCCAGCCCCUCUUCCCUGGAAUCUGCCUUGCCACUGUGGAUGUUUAUUCUUGAAAACGUUUAUUACUGAAAACUGAAUGUUAUUAUUAGAAAACUGGAGAUUGAAAGAGCCUAAUUGCACUUCAGUAAUUGUAAUUUUUUUUCUCUGAGCAAAAAGAAAAGCUAAUAAAAGAUAGAAAGUCAAUUUGAUCCA
rnacentral:lncRNA from 1 species